GCACUGGCAACUCAUCCUCUCUCUGCUGUAUGGUGCGGAGGGAGGUUUAAUCAGUGCGAGAUACAUGCAGCGGAAAUCCAGACGGUGCAUAUUUUAUCUAGCACUCCGUCACUACACCUCUGCUACACCU